rnacentral:rRNA from 1 species
UACAGAGGUGGCAAGCGUUGUUCGGAAUUACUGGGCGUAAAGGGCGCGUAGGCGGCCUUCUAAGUCAGACGUGAAAUCCCCCGGCUUAACCUGGGAACUGCGUCUGAUACUGGGAGGCUUGAGUAUGGGAGAGGGAUGUAGAAUUCCAGGUGUAGCGGUGAAAUGCGUAGAUAUCAGGAGGAACACCGGUGGCGAAGGCGGAUCUCUGGGCCUUACCUGACGCUCAGGCGCGAAAGCUAGGGGAGCGAACAGG